rnacentral:rRNA from 1 species
AGUGAACGCUGGCGGUAGGCCUAACACAUGCAAGUCGAACGGCAGCACAGUAAGAGCUUGCUCUUACGGGUGGCGAGUGGCGGACGAGUGAGGAAUACAUCGGAAUCUACUUUUUCGUGGGGGAUAACGUAGGGAAACUUACGCUAAUACCGCAUACGACCUACGGGUGAAAGCAGGGGAUCUUCGGACCUUGCGCGAUUGAAUGAGCCGAUGUCGGAUUAGCUAGUUGGCGGGGUAAAGGCCCACCAAGGCGACGAUCCGUAGCUGGUCUGAGAGGAUGAUCAGCCACACUGGAACUGAGACACGGUCCAGACUCCUACGGGAGGCAGCAGUGGGGAAUAUUGGACAGUGGGCGCAAGCCUGAUCCAGCCAUACCGCGUGGGUGAAGAAGGCCUUCGGGUUGUAAAGCCCUUUUGUUGGGAAAGAAAAGCAGCAGGUUAAUACCCCGCUGUUCUGACGGUACCCAAAGAAUAAGCACCGGCUAACUUCGU